UCCCUUGAAUUAUCAGUCCCAAAUGUAGCAACUCACACAAUAAAACAUACACAUAAAAUGCAACAAAUGCCUACAAAAUCUUCACUAACUGAACAAAUACCAUACACGCCCAGAGAGUUCAUACUAAUCAGAGAUGGACUCUUGGCAUUAAACCAGUGACCACCCCUUAUCAACUUUAGAAACCUCAGUAUCGACAGAUGCACCAUGAACACCCAGUCAUUCAUUUCCCAAGCAUCUACUCUAUCAACUACAGUAUGAGUCAUAAAAAGUAAGAAAAUAUAUAAGAUAUGAGACUUCUUCUCAGUGACAUCAUAAAGAAACUUUACGAUCUCACAGAGACAUAAGUCAUAUACGGGAUGCACUAUUAGGACUGAAACUUCAGUGUGGGAACAAAGGGAUGUUAAGAUCAUCUUCUGAGUUACAUACUGCUGAUAUGGGGACCAGAGCCAGAGCUAAAAGUGGCUUGCGUUUAACUUUGGAAUGUAAUUCUAAAGGACUCACUUUCUACCCUUUGACUCAAGAUAGUGUCCUCUAAGCUUGUAUUGGUUUAUCAUGAAAACUGGGUCUGAAAAACCUAUGAAGUAUCUGAGGAAAGCUGUUUAAGUGAUCCUAGCAAUCCGUAAGGGUUGACAACCCUGUUCACCAGAUGAAAAUAACAGAUUAUCUUACUCGUUCAAGAAUCUGGAGAGGGAUAGAAGACAUGUGUAAAGGGUCUGUCUGCUCAAAGGCAGUUGAUUGAAAGAGGGAGAGAAGGCAAAACUUUCUUACCAAGAUACGAAGAACAAGCGAGCAUAAUUACCUUCUCAAUAGCUGAAGCGCCGAGUCUUCACAAGCAAAACACAAGGUGCUGAGCAGGAGGUGUCUUCUCGUCAUGAGGCUGGGCACACAGAUCUACCUCUGGGCGCCUGGUUCAUUCCCUUGCACCUGAGUAACUGUGGGUUUUGUUUUCCUGUCAGUUGCCAAUGAAGGUUUCAUUUGAACUCUUAAAUGGUGCUAACAGCUGUCGCUGGCAGAUGUUCAUUACAGCACACCAGCUUGCCUUAUCAAGGCAGCGAGAGAGUCCUAAGUAUAUUCCAAAUCUCUUCUUCCAUGAGAGUCCCAGUCCCUUUAAUGGUUUGCUUGUUUAGAUCAGGCCCACACAGGAGGUAUUGAUGAACUCAGAGCUAAUUAUUUAUGGAUCUUGUGUAGAUAUCUCCUCCCUUUUUUGUCUUAUAGAAAAACAGUAACACAGAGAUGGUCUUUGUAUCUAUAAGCUUCAUAAACUCAGACAGCAGAAAGGGCAACAAUUUUAGGGAUAUUUUAGAGUUCUGCCUGAGUCAAUAAUCUCAGAAGACUCCCUGAGAAGAUUAAUUUCUAGUUAUGUGAAUCAUCUAGUGCCUCCCUCUGGAUUAGCACUAUGUACAUUUUACCGUUAUUGUUUUUUACAGGGUAGAUAAUUUAAGCAAACACAGUGGAUCUGUGAAAUCCAAUAUUGCCGCCUAUGACUCCUCCAAUUGACUCCUCUUGAUUUGUUCAAAUGUUGCCUUCCCAUGCUUCAUUCACAAUAAACUUUGGUCUGCCAUGGCCAGCCUGCAAAAUA